rnacentral:rRNA from 1 species
GAUGAACGCUAGCGGGAGGCUUAACACAUGCAAGUCGAGGGGCAUCACGAGGUAGCAAUACUUUGGUGGCGACCGGCGCACGGGUGAGUAACACGUAUGCAACCUUCCCUGUACAGGGGGAUAACCCGGAGAAAUUCGGACUAAUACCCCAUGACGAUAUUAUGGGGCAUCCUUUAAUAUUUAAAGCUCUGGCGGUACAGGAUGGGCAUGCGCGACAUUAGCUAGUUGGUAAGGUAACGGCUUACCAAGGCGACGAUGUUUAGGGGACCUGAGAGGGUUGUCCCCCACACUGGGACUGAGAUACGGCCCAGACUCCUACGGGAGGCAGCAGCUAAGAAUAUUCCGCAAUGGACGGAAGUCUGACGGAGCGACGCCGCGUGGAUGAAGAAGGUCGAAAGGUUGUAAAGUUCUUUUGCUAGGGGAAAUAAGUGUGGGAGGGAAUGCCUGCAGAUGAACAAGGACUAGCGAAUAAGUCCCGGCAACUACGUGCCAGCAGCCGCGGUAAACCGAGAGUAC